UCCAGUGGUGCGAAGAAGUAUUCACAUCCUUUACUCAUGUAAAAGUACUAAUACCACCCUGUUAAAAAACUCUUUUACAAGUAAAAGUCCUGCAUUGAAAAUGUUGUUAAGUAACUCAA